GCUAAACUAAAGGGAAGGGUGGCUUGCUGGCCCUAGCAGAACCUAGUUACACCUAUGGCUCUGUGGGCACUGACCCGUGCUCUAGGUUCCCUGAACCUGGCACCCCCGGCCGUCGCUGCUCCUGUCUUGAGUCUGCUUCCCGCCGCCCAGGUGAUGAACAAUGCCUUUCUCCAACUGCCCUCUGCCUUGAUGUUGCUCCCCUAUCACACAGUUCUUACUUCUGUGGCCCUCAAUGCCAAGUUUGUGUCCUGGAAGAACCAUACCAAGUACACCAUUAGACCAUUGAAGAAGAGGAAGGCUGGGGGCCGAGACCACACAGGCCGCAUCCGAGUGCAUGGUAUUGGCGGGGGCCACGAGCAACUUUAUCGCAUGAUUGACUUUCUGCGUUUCCGGCCUGAACAGGGUACCAAGCCUGAACCCUUUGAGGAGAAGGUUAUCAGAGUCCGCUAUAACCCCUGCAGGUCAGCAGACAUAGCUCUGGUUGCUGGGGGCAGCCGGAAACGCUGGAUUGUUGCCACAGAAAACAUGCAGGCUGGAGAUGUAAUCCUGAAUUCUAACCACAUCGACCAAAUGGCAGUUGCUGCCUGGGAAGGGGAUGCACCAUCCUCUUGGGGCCCUGCCUCUGGAGACCCUCAUCAACAACGCGGAAAGUGAGCCAGGCCGGGGGGGCCAGUAUAUCCGAGCUGCAGGGACAUGUGGUGUGCUGCUUCGGAAGGUAAAUGGGACAGCCAUCAUCCAGUUGCCUUCUAAGAGGCAGAUGCAGGUGCUGGAAACGUGCAUAGCAACAGUCGGCCGAGUAUCUAACGUUGAUCAUGAUAAACGGGUCAUUGGAAAGGCAGGUCGCAACCGCUGGCUGGGCAAGAGGCCUAACAGCGGGCUAUGGCAUCGCAAGGGGGGCUGGGCUGGCCGAAAGAUUCGGCCACUGCCCCCUAUGAAGAGUUAUGUGAAGUUGCCCUCUGUUGCUGCCCAAAGCUGAUGUUCCAGAACUCUAAUAAAAUGGCCCUCCAUUUUUAUCUGUUAAAA